rnacentral:rRNA from 1 species
UACGAAGGGGGGCUAGCGUUGCUCGGAAUCACUGGGCGUAAAGCGCACGUAGGCGGCUUUCUAAGUCAGGGGUGAAAUCCUGGAGCUCAACUCCAGAACUGCCUUUGAUACUGGAGAGCUUGAGUCCGGGAGAGGUGAGUGGAACUCCUAGUGUAGAGGUGGAAUUCGUAGAUAUUAGGAAGAACACCAGUGGCGAAGGCGGCUCACUGGUCCGGUACUGACGCUGAGGUGCGAAAGCGUGGGGAGCAAACGGG